CAUGCAAGUCGAACGAAGUAGCAAUACUUAGUGGCAGACGGGUGAGUAACAUGUGGGUAUCUACCCUUUGGCCUGGAAUAACACGAGGAAACUUGUGCUAAUACCGGAUAAGUCUUUACGGAGAAAGCUUUAUGCACCAUUGGAUGAGCCCGCACUUGAUUAGUUUGUUGGUAGGGUAAUGGCCUACCAAGACUAUGAUCAAUAGCUGAUUUGAGAGGAUGAUCAGCCACAUUGGGACUGAGACACGGCCCAAACUCCUACGGGAGGCAGCAGUGGGGAAUCUUGCACAAUGGAGGAAACUCUGAUGCAGCGAUGCCGCGUGAGUGAAGAAGGCCUUUGGGUUGUAAAGCUCUUUCGUCGGGGAAGAAAAUGACUGUACCCGAAUAAGAAGGUCCGGCUAACUUCGUGCCAGCAGCCGCGGUAAUACGAAGGGACCUAGCGUAGUUCGGAAUUACUGGGCUUAAAGAGUUCGUAGGUGGUUGAAAAAGUUGGUGGUGAAAUCCCAGAGCUUAACUCUGGAACUGCCAUCAAAACUUUUCAGCUAGAGUAUGAUAGAGGAAAGCAGAAUUUCUAGUGUAGAGGUGAAAUUCGUAGAUAUUAGAAAGAAUACCAAUUGCGAAGGCAGCUUUCUGGAUCAUUACUGACACUGAGGAACGAAAGCAUGGGUAGCGAAGAGGAUUAGAUACCCUCGUAGUCCAUGCCGUAAACGAUGUGUGUUAGACGUUGGAAAUUUAUUUUCAGUGUCGCAGGGAAACCGAUAAACACACCGCCUGGGGAGUACGACCGCAAGGUUAAAACUCAAAUGAAUUGACGGGGACCCGCACAAGUAGUGGAGCAUGUGGUUUAAUUCGAAGAUACGCGCAGAACCUUACCAACAC
rnacentral:rRNA from 1 species